UGUUAGUGGCAGACGGGUGAGUAAUGCGUAGGAAUCUACCUAGUAGUACGGAAUAGCCAUUAGAAAUGGUGGGUAAUACUGUAUAAUCCCCGAGGGGGAAAGAUUUAUCGCUAUUAGAUGAGCCUACGUUAGAUUAGCUAGUUGGUGAGGUAAUGGCUUACCAAGGCUAUGAUCUAUAGCUGGUCUGAGAGGACGAUCAGCCACACUGGAACUGAGAUACGGUCCAGACUCCUACGGGAGGCAGCAGUGGGGAAUAUUGGACAAUGGGCGAAAGCCUGAUCCAGCUAUGCCGCGUGAGUGAAGAAGGCCUUCGGG
rnacentral:rRNA from 1 species